rnacentral:rRNA from 1 species
UACGGGGGGGGCAAGCGUUGUUCGGAAUUACUGGGCGUAAAGGGCUCGUAGGUGGCCAACUAAGUCAGACGUGAAAUCCCUCGGCUUAACCGGGGAACUGCGUCUGAUACUGGAUGGCUUGAGUUUGGGAGAGGGACGCGGAAUUCCAGGUGUAGCGGUGAAAUGCGUAGAUAUUGGGAGGAACACCGGUGGCGAAGGCGGCCCCCUGGACCGGUACUGACGCUGAGGCGCGAAAGCGUGGGUAGCAAACGGG